GUCUACAGCCAUGCCACCCUGAACGUGCCUGAUCUCAUCUGAUCUCGGAAGCUAAGCAGGAUCAGGCCUGGUUAGUACUCGGAUAGGAGACCACCUAGGAAUACCACGUGCUAUAAGUA
rnacentral:rRNA from 1 species